AUUGAACGCUGGCGGCAUGCCUUACACAUGCAAGUCGAACAGCAGCACGGGUGCUUGCACCUGGUGGCGAGUGGCGAACGGGUGAGUAAUACAUCGGAACGUACCUUAUCGUGGGGGAUAACGCAGCGAAAGCUGUGCUAAUACCGCAUACGCCCUGAGGGGGAAAGCGGGGGAUCGCAAGACCUCGCGCGAUUAGAGCGGCCGAUGCCUGAUUAGCUUGUUGGUGGGGUAAAAGCCCACCGAGGCGACGAUCAGUAGCUGGUCUGAGAGGACGAUCAGCCACACGGGGACUGAGAAACGGCCAAGACUCCUACGGGAGGCAGCAGUGGGGAAUUUUGGACAAUGGGGGCAACCCUGAUCCAGCAAUGCCGCGUGAGUGAAGAAGGCCUUCGGGUUGUAAAGCUCUUUUGUCAGGGAAGAAACACCGGCUCUAACACAGUCUGGGAAUGACGGUACCUGAAGAAUAAGCACCGGCUAACUACGUGCCAGCAGCCGCCGUAA
rnacentral:rRNA from 1 species